UCUCGUUUACUCAUUCAUUUAUUCAUUGCCAGACUCGUAGAGUACGAUUUUUUAUCUUGUAAAUUUCUACAAUCGGUGUCUAUGUUGUUCUAACCACAUUACAAUUAAAUAUACAUAUAAACAAUUAAACAACUAAACAUAUCAUAGAUGCCCGUUCCAUUCUGCCUAAUUCCUUCUGCCUAUCCAUUCCAUACAUUCACGAUAGAAUUUUGCAGCUGAUUGUAUAGUUUUAAUGUUAGUUGGAAGCUGAUUCCACAAAGUAAUUGCACGAACGAAGAAGGUACUACUGUAGUGAGAGGAGUUAUGUUGCGGUACGAUGUAGUAUCUUACUCGAGAGCUACUGAAUGGUUACAACUUUUCAGAGAGAUAGUUUGAACCUGGAUAGAUAAUUUUGAAUACGGUAACACAACUUCUAACUAAAGAGAGUCUCCGUAGCCACAUUGGUUGCGCGUUCGCUUAGUAAGCGAUCGAUCGUGAGUUCAAAACUCAGGGCCUCAUUGACCAUCUUUGUGUUGUUACAGAAUAACUGGAGCUCUGGAGAGCUCCAGAAUCUCCAGCUCUGCGACGUCGACUUGUUAUGAAAAGCUUUUUGCUCUUCGCUGGAUUCACUUUGAGUUCAUUCAGUUGCGACCAAUUCGAAACUCGUUCAAGAUCAGCAUUCAUCAUCCUGAUCAAAUCACGGGAACAUGGACCAAGUCUACCAACGUAUAAUUGUACAUCGUCAGCAUAAAUCUGGAUGGAACAGUAUGUAAGCACCGUUGGUUCGUUGAUAUGGCAGCAGAAGGGACCGAGAACUGAGCCCUGAGGAACUCCUGACGACACUUCGACACUACUUGAACAACGAUCACCACAGAAAACUGUCUGUCUUCUUCCACGAAGCGGCAGGCGGAGUACGUUGAAUGCUCAUAGUGUGUCAAAAAAGAAACGGAGAAAAACAACACUGACUGGAUGCGUGUGUGUUUAGGUCGAUGGGCCUCGACUGUUGAUUGCUAUCUAGCAACACAAUAGCAGUAUACAAUUCACAAUCAGCUGAUGCAAACAAAAAACAGCCAGGUAAAUAUCGUACGAACUGGAUAACACAAACGUGUAAAAUUCGAACACUACGUAUCACGAUGGAAUGGUUAACGAUGAUUUAUGAACGGUUGAACAACAUUUUUUUUAUCCCAUUUAUUUAUUUAAGGCUCAUUAGCAUUUCAGCUGUAACAGAGCCGAAUUUUAAUCGUGUACAUGUCACAUGGUUAUCAUAUCUAUAAUUAGCACAUUACACAGUUGCCGUUCGCCAGUAUUCCUUCUAUACCAUUACAUAUGGUACAUUCACACAGUAGCCAUUUAGGCGUAAGAGUAUUCUGUCUGUUCUUCCAUUAUCCAGUUGGACCACCGGACAGCGGAGACAGUUGAUUGAUCAUUGUUGAGUUAUUUAUAGAACAGCAGCCCGAUGUGUCUUGCAGAGCAAAGCAGUUAUAUGAAUGAAUCGAUCUUAUUUCGACCAUGGAUCGAUCUCCAUCGCUGAUGAUUGUUGCGUGGACGAAGCUAUUCUGUAACAACACAAAGAUGGUCAAUGAGGGUCCUGAGUUUUGAACUCACGAUCGAUCGCUUACUAAGCGAACGCGCAACCAAUGUGGCUACGGAGACCCCCAUAACAAAACUUUUGAAGUGACUUAAUAUGCGACUGUUAUCGACACAUACUCGCGCCGGUCUUUGUCUUUGUCUCUGGUUAGUCAGCUCCCUCACUCUACUGCCCAGGCGUUGAAGUCGCCACUGAUAACAAUAGGGCUUUGCGCUGUGACUUUGUCCGUUAAUGUGUCGAGCAUUUCCUCAAAUUGUCCGAUUGUCCAUCUCGGAGGAGCAUAGCAACUGCAUAUGAAGAUAUCGUUGAUGCGGGCUAUUACGAACCCUUCCUUGUCACUGGAUACCACUUCUUGUAUAGGAAAAUUUCCCGUAACUGUUAUAGCAGCCAUCCCAGCUUUGUCAGCUACUCAAUUUCGAUUGUUGGGGGAACUCGAUAUGGCUCCGAGAUAAUAGCAACGUCGCACUUAGUUUUUGCUACAGAUUGCUUUAGUAGCUGGCGAUGUUUCUUGGUACCCGUAUCCGUAUAGUAUGGUAACACGCUCUUUGCGUGUUACCAUACGCCUUCUUCAUCCGUAUAGUCAAUGACACCCAGCUGGACUGUGCUUCUUUCAGUUCAUCUUCUGGUGUGAUCUCAUCCAUAUUUCUGCACUCGACCACCGCUUCCUGUGACAAAGCCCUCACUUUUGCCGUCUCACCUAGCGAUUUUUCAACUGGGUCUUUAAACACCGAACUUUGAAUAGCCGGAUCCUUUUUUUAGCUCGAACAACAUUUCGCCGUUCUGGGUGCGCCUCACUUUUGCCACACUGUCUUCGAGGUUUUUUAGAGACGGUUUACCUUUCACCUUCCGCAAAAUGUCAGCAUGUGAUAAUUCACCAGCUUUGCUUAUGAUCAGAGCGUCUGGUUACUGCCUUCCUUUCCAGAGCUUCGGAGUAUUUUUCUUUGUUUUUUUCGGCUCUACCUGUUGUCAUUCGUUCAAGUCUUCAUCGAUAGGGUGUUCUUCAUCGUUAACAUUUAUGCGGCCAUCUUUAUGUUUUUUGUCGCAUUUUUUUAUUCAGGUGUUUUCCUCCUCCUUUUGGUAGUAGUCAAAGGAGUGGAGUCUUCGGUCGGUGUUCUUGCGGGAUCUUUUGGGAUGUUCUCCCUAGUCCCUUUCAGAGAAUUUUCUGUCGUUUCAGCUCUUGCCCUCCAUAUAUGUUGCUCGCGUUCGGCUGCUGCGAGUGCGGACUUAAUUUUUAUGGUGAGUGUCCUUAUGACAGCAUGUACAUUACGACGGCUCUUGAUGUACUCGUAGAGUUCCUCACUUUCUUACUUCGCCUCACUCACCUUUGUUUUUUCUUGUUGUGCUGUCUGCUCCGGCUGGGAUUUACUGUAGGUGGGCAUCGGUGUCAACACUGGUGACCACAUUAGCUGACCCCUUCUUGCAAAAAUACUCGCUUCUUCUUUCCCGUUCUCAGUUCCUUGUAUUGUGUUUGAUUUUGUUUGAUGUCCCUACGUGUUUGGGUCCCAACUCCGGGCCGCUAUCUUCGCUCGUUGUAUCUAGUCGCUAUAAAUGAUCCUAUGGUUUUUUAUGCAAGCAGUGAGGCCAUGCAAGGUUUGACACGGUCCUUCAUGGGGAUCGUGUUCAGAGCCGGAUCAGUGCAAGUCAGGCCCAAUUUAUGCAGUGCAUUUGAAUUUGUUAAACAAUCUCAUACGAAAAUUGUUUUUGAGGAAAUGUAUCAUGAUAGCAUGGUUGAAUAAAAGUUAGGAAUACGUGUUUCAAGUAAUUGAAUAGCAUGAUGUAGAAAUUUUCAUUCAAAUCUUAACAUUUCAAAACUGGCUUCGUGCCUUCUAAUAUGAUAGAGCUUAUACUAUCGAGUUGGGACCCAAAUUAUGGUCCGUACCACUGUCAUCGCGAAUUACUUUGAAUUUGAGAACAAAUGACACCGUCUGCUAUAAUGAUGCAGAACCGCACUGAUACAAAACAUGCUUUCUACAAUGCAGAGAAACUUCGACAUUAUUGUAUUCUGUACGAUAUGUUCAAUGAUAGCUCUACCAGUAGAAGCUGGAGAAAUCUUCAUAAAAAAAAAACAAGGAAAAAAUAUGAUGCAAUUGGAAACAAUUACCUCAAAUUGACAGAUUCUGUCAUCCGUUUUAUACGAGAUGUAUCAUCUGACGGAUAUACUGCAAUCAACUUCUGUGUUAGCUGAUUGAAUAAUUCAAUGUGAUGUUUAUAUUGAUGAAGUUCAGCAUGGAAUGAUUUCUGCUCUUUUUGUUGAAUUUCUAAGAUAUCUGCAGUAGCAGCUACUAUUCCCAUGCAUUCGGAUCGGGUUUCCAUACGAGCUAGCCACGUCUCGAUUUCCAGCCUUUUUGCCUCGUAUCUAGGUAAAUUUAGGGAAUGCAAUAUAUAGACAAUAAUAUACGAUUCCAAUAUACCUCUGAGAAUCACCCAGCAUUGCAGUCAGUUGUGACUUGCGUUGUAAUACUGACUGCGUUGUAUCAUCCCAUUGCUCGCGCAUUCGAGAAACUAGAAGAAACAAAAAUUCUAUAUAAGAUAAGACGACGACGAUAGGAUUUACCCAGAACAAUCAUAUUAUCAUGUUUAUAUUAUAUUUGUACUGAAAAUAGAAACAAAAUUCUCUUUAGUUUAAAAUUUUGUAAUAUACAUAACAAAUAAAUCAUAAAUCCCACUCGAACUACUACAUUUGCUUCAUAUAAUACGAAAAAACAAAAACAAAAUAUAACUAUCCAACAAAAAAUUACAAAACAUAUGUGAGAAAAGUGCUAUGAAAUAGUAUUAUUACACAUUUAGCAAAGUUCGACUUCCAGUGUCAUAAUCUAAAUUCAGGAGGGACAUUCUGUUCGACAAAUGAUAAUACUACAUAUACAAUCUCAUUCAAAACAGUUUUGCUGAACGGAUAUACAAACCCAGAUUGUUCUGCUGUGCAUAUUGCAUUUCAUCGUGUGACGAACGACGCCUCAAUCUCAAAUCUUCUCUAGAUAAACCCCCUUGGCGAUUGGGAGCGUUUUCAUUGUUGCGCGCAAUAACUGGUAGCAACUGUUGACGAAUAUAUUCCAUCUCUUGUGAUCGUUGUCUACUAUACUGUAUUUCCAAUGGUAAAUGUCGAUCCAGCGAACGGAAAUGGUUUUCAGCAGAUCGAUGAAAAUUAUCCUUCAUUGCAUUCGAUUUGUGUGAAUUGUCUAACAUUGUGCAAAAAUUUGAAGUUAGUUCCAUCGAUCGUAUAUUAUCAGUGAUAUUAUCCAAACACAUUUGAUCCAUGCUGACUACUCGUUCAAGACCAGAUCCCCUGAUGUUCUGGUUAUGUAGCUGUUCACUAAGAUGUCCUCUGUUUUCCAACCCACGUAUAUUUUGAGUUUCAGCCAAAGAUGUAACAGAACCUAAUCCUCUCGUAUUGGCUUUAACAUCCAUGAUUUGAACCUGGCGGUUUUGACUAUUAACAGCUGUAGACGCUUCGAAUAAACGAAGAUUCAUUUGUUCCUGCAUAGCUCGUUCCAUAUUUCGUAAACCGCUUUCAAUGCCCCUCAAUGCGUCUUCAGAUCCAUAUUCAUCAACAGGCGAUGAUGAUUUUGAUUUCAUUUCUCCUGUCAGAUUUGAUUGUUUUUCACUCACAAAAGAUGUCGGAUGCUGAUUGUCAAGCGUUUUAUCUUUUACUUGCUUAUUUUGAUAUGGCGUUGAUCGUGAGACAAUGGGCGAACUUGUGAUCUUUCCAGUGUAUCGAGGAGCCAUAGCAGAAGUAUUUUUCUUCAAGGGUACCGGAGGAGCAUUUUGACAACGUUGUAAUUGCGAUAUGUUUUCAUUUUCUACACAAGUAUCGUGGUCUAUUUUUUUAAGAAGCAUACGUUUAGGUGGAAUUUCAGGUGCUUUCAAGAUGUCAGUCGUUCUCGCUGGCAAUUCGGGAACUUUAACAAGAUCUAAUACUUGUGAAGACAUGUUCUUCCUCAAUUCAUUAGCUCGUAGUGCUGCCUGUGCUGCUAACUCGUGUGUUUUCUCAAGGAUUGUUGGACCUGAGUCCUUACCAACAUGUUGUGCCAUUGUUAGAUUUCACAUUAAUUGUAAUGAUAUAAUAUAUGUUUUUUUUCUCAAGGCCAGUUUAUCAUACACAAUCCUUCGAAAACUUUAUAAUUGCUGAAUAGGGGAACGCAUGAAAUAUAAAAAAACGAGUAAAAGAAGUAACACAUUUAAUGUCAAACAUUUGAAGAUAUCUCUAUUAUAAAUGAAAGUAAAUUUUUAGUUUAUUAUCAAAACCUUUUUAACCAACAUAUUUUGAUAUCCUCAAGAAAAACCGAACGCACAAAAAUCAGUUAUGUUUAGUUAUGACAACUGGCAUUAGAAACUUUGAUUUUCAUUUGAUUAAAGGUGUAGCCCAAACCGUACGAAAGAUUUGAUGUUCAGCAUUGAGAUAGUUUUCAUUUAUUUGUAUGAUUGUACAACGAUCUGGUUUGGAAAAUUCAAUUUUUUUGUUGUUAUAAGAUUCAUAUUGUCACCAAAUUAUCACGAAAAAUGUGAUGUUCUGAUUGGAUCUGUCGAAAAUUUAAAAACUCAAGAAUAUGGUUUUAUAUGUAAUAUCCACAAUUAACUAUGAUAAACACGAUUUCUCACGAACAUGUAAAGCCUUCACAACUAAUUAAUACACCGGCUAUGAUCACAGCGACAUUUUCCACGGUUGUAUUUGGGCCUGUCCGAAAAAUUACGAUAUUACGAUUCCCUACAUUGAGUAUAGUGAUAAAGUUUGCCGAUGCCCUAAACAUAUAACGAUAAACACGAUAUGCACAUUUUUAAUCGCAUAAUAUACACAAUGUUCUCCACCUCCAAUAAUGUUCAGUUUAAAACACGAGAAAAUAGUUCAAUUGAAAUGGUGGUAUUAUAGAAUAAUUGCUACAAUCUGAAGGUUUUUAUCGACUGAAGGAAACUCAAAACCAAUACAAAAAUGUAUUUGUGAAAAGAGUCCUAGUUUUUGGGGGAGAUAAGUUACGCGAGAAAGGAGAAAUUUUCAGUAAAAAGAGAGAAGUUCGUUUCAUAUGCGGUAUCCAAAACUGGGAAGUAACCAAAAAAACUGCAAACAAUGUAUUAUAUAUUAUAUAUUGUUGUAAACUAUACCAUAGAUAUAUAAGUGAAUCUAUUUUAUUAUCACUAUAAUAAAAUAAAUUCACUCCACAGUAUUUUUUUUUUUAUAAUUUGUUAUCUGUAAUAAACACGUUUGAUCAGAAUUAUUAUAGUAGUUAUUCUACAAUUAAAUAUGAAUGAUUUACUGUAUCUGCGAGUUCCUAGAACAACAACGAGAAAAUGUAUUUAAUCAAUUACAUAUAAUCAUGGCAAUGAUUCUGCUUAUGGAAUUUUGAAUGGUUCUUCUUUUCGAACGACGCGAUAGUCGAUUGCCCGUCAUAUUAACUAACACCAACCGAUCUCCCCCAUUCUGAAAUGCAUGUCUAAAUGUUGAGAGAGUGAGCUCUCGCAGCGACAGGAUAAUAAACGUUAUCGCGAUAGAGACAAGGGGAACAUUUCGCGUUGACAGCGUUGAACUUCGUGCGUGUGCGAAAAUUGUGAUGGCAUUUCAAUUGAAAUAAACAUGUAUCCCAAAGAGAAAUUAUGAAUGAAAAUAUACUUUUCCGUUUCAAAUUAGUAUCCUAAAGCAUGUUUCAGUUAUAAUUUGGUCGCAAAAAGUAGGACAUUUCUAAGCAUAGAAAUUAUUAUCACUAUAAUAAACAUGCAAAUAGGGAAAGAUGUCAUUUUGUAGGUUUUUUUUUUGAUAAACUCUAAUGCAUGAAAAUUAUUCGUCAGCUGCUCGUAUCAAUUUUCGAACUUUUCGUGUGAUACCAUAUACAGAUGACACGCGUUUCUCACAUCAUGAUGAUGAUGAUGUUGAAUUAAAGAGGCUUUAAACUUUUCAGUUCAUUCGCCUCUACACAUCAUACACGAACACGGUGUUUAUAAUUCAAACAUAUCACGUACAAAACAUAUCACCCGUUGUAGCAAGAUUCGUUUACGUUUAUGUUGUAGCAAUAUUCGUUGGUCUACGUCUACGUUUCCUCUCAGGUACGGAAAAAUACGAGGGUCGUUCAAAAAAUAAGUUUCAGUGCCUCAGAAAUCGCGGAAAAAUAAAGUUAGGACAAAAAACAAUCGCCGUAACGUGGAACGAGUUUUUCUAUUCCGAGCGCGAAGUUGUUCGAUGAAUGCAUAUUGAAGGUCGAUAAAUCGAUUGCAAGGUAGCAGCAUAUGAGGUCGAUUGUUGACAUUUCAUCGACCCAAUCUUAGCAGGCAAAACGGAAUAUGGGCGGCUUACAGCUUCAUCUAUUGUGCCCACUGUGAGAAUUUCGCUCCAAUCAAUCGACGAAAUUUUAGCGUUCAAAUCAACGAAGUUACAUUGCCUGAAGUCGUAAUAUUGUUCCUCAUGUCUAUCGACACGCGUCAUAUUCAAAACGGUUAACUUUUUUUUUUAUUAAUUCGUUUAUUUUUACAGGCUCAGUUACUUAAGUUUAAAGGAGCCGAAUUCUUAAAUAUGAUUUAAAACUAUAUAUAUAUAUACAAUUUUAAACAAUUUUAAACAAUAAAUAAACAAUUUUUCUUACAUCUACGGUUAGUAAGGUGCCGAUUACCGAUUACCGAUUACUCGCGGUCUACUCGAGUUUAGAAGGGUGACAUAUUUUUAGGAGAAGGAUGGGAUAUAAGGAAACUGUAACAAUGUUGAUGAACACUCAUUUCUUAAAUCUAUUCGUAUAUCUAUAGUGUAUUUACAUUUCAACUUAUUCUACUAUUUAUAGCAAGGGGACGAAUUACCCGCGAAGGAAGGAAAGGAGGGUAUAAGGAUGUAGGGACAAUCACACACGAAGAUCUAUAGCUUUAAGGAAAACAUAUAUAUGGGACAUGUAAUCAAGGUCUAACCGAGCCAACACAUCUCUCACCGGCACAUUGGGCGGUCUUCCUCGGGCCCGAAGGGAGUUUUCUAAAUUCGAUCUGGCGACCAGAUACACCUCGCACGACCAAACAAUGUGCUCGAUGUCGUGAUAACCUUGGCCACAAACGCAGAGAUUGCUGCUGGCAAGAUUGAAACGGAAGAGUAGUACAUCUAACGAACAGUGAUUGGACAUGAGUCGGGAGAAGGUGCGAAUAAAGUCCCGACUCAAGUCCAGACUUUUGAACCACGGUUUGAGGCUAACCUUAGGGAUAAUCGAGUGAAACCACCGGCCCAAUUCAUCUUCAUUCCACUUGCGUUGCCAGUUAGCGAUGGUAUUUUUGCGGACUGAAGAAUAAAAUUCAUUGAAGGUGAUUUGACGCUGAUAAAUGUCGCCUUCAAUUGCACCUACCUUUGCCAAUGAGUCAGUCCUCUCAUUACCCGGAAUUGAGCAAUGUGAAGAGACCCAGACAAAGGUAAUGACAUACCAGCGUCUGGAUAAAGCACUCAAAAUUUCUCGUAUUCUCUCAAGGAAGUACGGCGAGUGCUUUUCCGGCCUCACUGAACGGAUAGCUUCGACAGAGCUAAGACUAUCCGUUACAAUGUAAUAGUGUUCAACAGGUCGUGAGGCGACGCUGUCCAGCGCCCAGUAUAUCGCUGCCAAUUCAGCAAUAUAUACCGAGCAAGGAUUCUGAAGACUGUGUGAGGUGCUAAAAAAUACGUUGAACACUCCAAAUCCUGUGGACUCAUUCAUAGAGUACCCAUCAGUAAAGUACAUAUUAUCACAAUUAAUACGCCCAUACUUUGCAUUGAAGAUCGUAGGAACGAACCCCAAUCUAAGAUAAUCUGGAUUUUCAUGGAUUUUCUCCUUCAUGAACAGAUCGAAAUGUACAGAGGAAUUGAUGUAGUCAGGAAAACAAACACGGUUGGGAAUAUACGAAGAAGGAACAACCUGCAUAGAGGUGAAUUCAUGAUAUGAACUCAUGAAUCCAGAAUGAAAAUUUAGCUCGAUCAAUUGCUCAAAAUUUCCGAUCACCAAUGGAUUCAUAACCUUACACCGAAUGAGGAACCGAAGAGAUAAUAAAUUGAAGCGAUCUUUUAGUGGGAGUACGCCUGCCAAAACCUCGAGACUCAUGGUAUGCGUUGAGGGCAUACAUCCCAACGCAAUACGGAGACAAAGAUACUGAAUUCGCUCGAGUUUAAUGAGGUGUGUUUUGGCAGCUGAUUGAAAACAGAAACUGCCAUACUCCAUCACUGAGAGAAUAGUUGUUCGAUACAACAUAAUAAGAUCUUCGGGAUGGUCUCCCCACCAGGUGCCGGUAAUUGUACGGAGAAAGUUUAUUCUUUGUUGACAUUUUUUACUCAGAUACCAAAUAUGGGCCCCCCAAGUACAUUUGGAGUCGAACCAGACCCCAAGAUACUUGAAUGACAUAGCAUGAGUGAUCGGUUUACCCAAAAGUUGAAGCUUUGGUUUUGCUGGUCUAUGCUUCCUAGAAAAAACCUCCAUCUCUGUUUUCUCCGUGGAGAAUUCGAUCCCUAGCCCAAUGGCCCAGGUUGAAAAAUUGUUCAAAGUAUCUUGUAAGGGUCCUUGCAGGUCGGAUUCGUUUGAUCCUACGACAGACACCACUCCAUCAUCUGCAAAUUGUCUUAGGCUGCAAUUUUGUGUAAGGCAAUUGUCGAUGUCGCUUACAUAGAAGUUGUACAAAAGGGGGCUUAAACAUGAGCCCUGGGGUAGGCCCAUGUAAGAGACCCGACUUACUGCCGUACCUCCGUGAGAAAAGUUCAAAUGUUUCUCACAAAGCAAGUUAUAUAACAUAUUAUUCAAUAGAGGCGGCAGACCCCGAGAGUGUAAUUUGUCCGACAAAACCUCUAUUGAAACAGAAUCGAAGGCCCCCUUUAUGUCCAAGAAUACUGAAGCCAUUUGUUUUUUUUUUUUCAGCGUAAGCCAUUUGAAUUUCUGAAGAAAGCAACCCAAGACAAUCAUUCGUCCCCUUGCCCCUGCGGAACCCAUAUUGUGUAUCUGAGAGUAGGCCAUUCGUUUCAACCCAUCGAUCAAGGCGAAACAAGAUCAUUUUCUCCAACAAUUUCCGUAUACAAGACAGCAUUGCUAUUGGGCGGUACGAAUUGAAGUCGGACGCGGGUUUUCCGGGUUUUUGAAUAGCUAUAACUCGUACUUGUCCCCAAUCAUCUGGAACAAUAUUAUUCUCCAGAAACCGAUUGAAUAAAUUCAACAAGCGAUGUUUCGCCACAUCAGGGAGGUUUUUCAGCAAGUUGAACUUAAUUCUAUCCGAUCCCGGAGCAGAAUUGUUACAUGAAAGCAGAGCAAGAGAGAAUUCUACCAUCGAAAACUCGGAAUCAAGAUCGCACCUACCUUGUGGUAUAUCUCGAACAAUUUUUUGCACAGGAGCGGAAUCAGGACAAACCUUCCGUGCAAAAUUAAAAAUCCAUCGAUGUGAAUAUUCUUCGCUUUCAUUCGUUGAAGAGCGAUUUCUCAUGCUUCGAGCCACUUUCCAUAAUUUUUUCAUUGACGUUUCUCGUGACAAACCUCCCACGAAAUUUCGCCAAUAAGCACGUUUUUUCCCUUUGAAUGAGUUUUUAAAUUGAUCUUCAAGGGCUAAAUACGUUUGAAAAUUUUCAGGGGUUCCACGUUUCCGAAAAGCUUUAAAUGCAUUCGAUUUUUCUACAUAAAGCUUGGAACACUGGCUAUCCCACCAUAGAUUGGGAGGCCUUCGACGAAUAGUGGAACCUGGGAUGGGUUUCGUUUGAGCGCGAACCGCGCUGUCAUAGAUCAAACGAGAAAGGAAGUUAUACUCCUCCAAUGGAGGUAAAUCAUCUCUGGAAUUUAUGGCUAGAGCAAUCGCGUCCGCAUAUUUUUUCCAGUCAAUGUGUCUUGUGAGGUCAUAUGCCAUGUUUAUAGAUUCAGAAGAAUUCGACCCAAUGGUGAUGGAAAUUUUGAUUGGCAAGUGAUCACUACCGUUGGGGUUCUGGAUUACAUUCCAUUUGCAAUCUAACGAUAGUGAAUUCGAGCAAAGCGAGAGGUCAAGAGCACUUGGGUUAGCAGGAGGUUUAGGUACACGUGUUGUUUCCCCAGUGUUCAAAACGGUCAUAUUGAAGCUGUUACAAAGGUCAUAUAUCAUCGAUGAACGAUUGUCGUCGUACUGUUCCCCCCAGGCAGUUCCGUGAGAGUUGAAGUCUCCCAAGAUCAAUCGUGGCUCAGGAAGGAGUGAGCACAUGUCAUCAAGUUGUUUGCGGCUAACCGCAGCUCUCGGAGGCCAAUACAAGCUGACAAUACAGAGGUCUUUGCCUCUGAUGUUUGCAUGACAAGCAACAGCUUCGAUCCCUCCAAUGGGUGGAAGGUCAAUUCUAAAAAAUUAGUGGCACUUAUUGAUCCCCAAAAGCACCCCUCCGUAUCUAUCAUCACGGUCCAAGCGUAUAAUAUUAAAAUCGUGGAAAGAGAUAUCAUCUCGCGAAGAAAGCCAAGUUUCGGACAGAGCAAAAACAUCACAAUUGAAGUUAUGAAUUAAAAAUUUGAAUGUAUCCAAUUUAGGGAUAAGACUACGACAAUUCCACUGUAAAACAGUGAUAUCUCCGACCUCUCUAUUUGAAUUAGACAUCAAGAGAGAUAAUCAUUGCAAGGAGGGGCCAUGUUUGCAUCAAUUGUUGCAAAAUUGUCUUUAAUACUGGAAGCAUUGAAAUGACAAUGGUUCUGAUGGAGUCGGAAACAUUAAAACACUUGAAGAUUUGAUCCAAAAGGUCAGACAUCCUUAUAAAUCCCGAUUGGGAAGUUGAGCUGGACGGAAAAAUAGGGACAGUUGGGGUUUUUGAUGUCCCCUCGAGUGCUGGGUCGUUCGAAGGUGAACUAUUCCCACGGAAGCCAUUAGGAACCUGAUUUUGCUUGUCCGCUGCACUCGAUUUUUUAGGCAAGCUAACAGGGGGUAUCACCGGCGGGACUUGUUCUUGAACUUUGGGAGUGGUCACAUUUUUGCGCCGGGGAUUCCCUUUGAAAAUAAACGGUGUGCCCCCGUUACCUGUAUCCGCGUCCAUUUCGUCAACUGGCAGCGAAUCGAAGGCAUUGUUUGUAGGUAAUGGUUGUUGUUGUUGAGCCAGUGGAGAAGCGCCCUUUAAAAUUUCCGCAAAAGUGCGUUUUGAGCGUUCCUUCAAAGAGCGCUUCUGUUUCUCCCAGCGACUCUUAUAAGUUUCACAAGCUGAGAGCACGUGUGGGGAUCCCCCGCAAUAUGGACACUAUUGCUCAGUCGCAUUGCAGGAUUUCCCCACAUGUUGCUCUCCGCAAGUGGCACAGCGCUCCUUGUUGGCGCAAUAAUCUGCUGUAUGACCAACUGACUUGCAUUUGUUGCAAGUCAUGGGCUUUGGCACGAAGAGUCGCAGUUGUAGCCUCAAUUUGUCCACCAUAACGUAGUCAGGGAGGGCGGAACCAGCAAAAGUUACUCGAAACGAGUCGGACGGCGUGAAUUUUGUUUUUCCCUCUUCCCGGGACACUUUUCCUAAUUGAUGGCAGUCCAAAAUUUUAACUUUCGUCAAAGGGAGUUAUUUGAAUCUGCCAUCUCCUUGUUUUAUGAAUUCGCUCGUCAGACCCGUUUCUGUAAUCACCCCCGAAAUUUCUACGUUAUGGGAUGGUACGUACACGUGAUAUUCUAAAAUGAACCGAUUGUCAGCAACAAUCUCGUUAGCUUGCUUCCGAUCAGUCACGACAACACGCAGUUUGUUCGGUCGAACCUUGGAAAUUUCGACCAUGAAGGAAUAUUUUUUUGUCAGAUCUUUCAUGAUCUGAAUGACAUUCAAAGCUUUUCCUUGUGGCUUGGGCCGGAAGAAAACAACCCACGGGCCUAUUCCAGGUGCAUCUUCUGGGUAUAUCUUGACACGGGGAGCGGAGACAACUGAGGGGGCAGACGAAGACGAGGAUUGAGUAGAAGAGGAUAAAACAGAGGGGAGGGACGAGGUAGAUGGUUGAGUGGGAUCGGAAGUAACAGGUGAGGAAUGCGAAGUCGUCGGCUGAGUGGAAGCGGGAAGGUUAAGGGUUUGAGAGGAGAGGUUUGCGGAUUUCUUAGAGGGAGGCUUUUUAGUGUGGCUUGAAUCUUCUUCGGAAGAAUUAUCUUCCGGUGAGGGAACGCGCUUGAGCGACUUCCCGGCCCCUUUUUGUGCAACCGAGGGGGAGUCAAUAUUUUCAUCGUAAGAGAUCUCCAUAUUUGGAGAUCUCUCACACUCUUCCAUAGUUUAUACGGAUGAUAAUUAUAAUAAUAUUUUAUAAUAAUUUCUAUAACCUAAUAAAAUAAUAAUAACGAUAAUAAUAUUUAUACAAAAUACUUGGUAGUGCACACCAGUGCAGCUAAUCAGAAAGCGACUGCUCCUCAAUCGAUUGGUCGCAGGCACAGCUGUGAUAGCUAAACAAACAAUCACGCUCCGGUCCACACUAAACGCACACACCAAUGCAGAUGAACUGGAAACUUCUCGAUCGGUUGAACACGUGAUCGACGCUCGCCGCAAUUGAAAUUGUGUAUCACACACACGCACUGUCGGCGGUCGCACAGUAUCCGAAUGCGGGAUAAUGGCAAAACACGGCGAAAUAAAUCGUCACUCCAGCUUUCUGCUGAUAACACUUUGUUUUUUGUUGGGCUCAAACGAAUUGUAUAAACAAAGCGUAUGGAUACAACACGGCAGAAAAUACACCAGCUAACGGUAACCGAGAACGAUAACUAUAACGGAGUGACACAAUAUACGUCUGAUUACUCGAAGGUCUCGACGCGGAAUGAAACGGUUAACUUGACAAUGAAAGACUUAUGGUGGCAAUCUAUGUUCAUUAACGGCAUGGGUGGUUCGAAAAUUUCACAGCACAUUACUGCCGUUCAAUGCAUAGUUGUCCCAUGUUCCAAAAUCAGCAACUGAGAAAAACUCAAUCAAAGUUUCCUAUCAUAUUUGUCUACCAGAAGAUUUAAGCAUUUCAGUUUAGCAAUACACCGGCUUUUUUAUAAGCAGUAAACUAUCGUGUAAUUAAACGUGAUUCAAACUUUUAUUGGUAUAGAUAGAAGAAGAUAUAGGAGUGCGUUUCAUCACAUUGAAAUCCAUUUCCAGUUUCGAACAAAGAUCAAUUUCGCUAGCGCAAACAUCAAAUUGACUAACAGCAUUUGUCACUAUGUAAUUGUAGAACAUAUGGGAAUUUAAUUUUCCGAAUUUUCCCUUUUUCCUUCAGAGUUUUCCGAAAAUUUUCAAUUGUCAUGUUUGGUUGGAAUAUUUUUGGUUGAAAUAUGUGUAAUAUUUUUAUGGGACCCCCUCUCCAUUCCAGAGGAGAGAUGGGUGUCAUACCAUCAUAGAAACAUUUCUCAUACACAAAAACCCUCACAUCCCAAAUUGUGCUUGAUUAGUUCUAGAGUUAUGCAGAAGCUUGUGUUUGUGUGCCCCCUGUAAUUUGUGUUUCAUUUGUAUGGCAGCCCCCCCUUAGAGAUGGGGUGGAGUGUUUAACCACCAUAGAAACAUUUAUUGUACCCUAAAACCUCCAUAUGCCUAAUUUGGUUCCAUUUGCUUGAUUAAAUCUCGAGUUAUGCAGAAAUUUGUGUUUCAUUUUUAUGGCAGCUCCCCCUCAGAGAUGGGGUGGAGUGUCUAACCACCGUAGAAACAUUUAUUGCAUCCUGAAACCUCCAAAUGUCAAAUUUGGUUUAAUUUGCUUGAUUAAUUCUCGAGCUAUGCAGAAAUUUAUGUUUCAUCUUUAUGGCAGCCCCACCUAAUAGAGGGGGAGGAGUAUCUAACCACCAUAGAAUCAUUUAUUGCAGCCUAAAACCUGCACAUGCAAAAUUUGGUUCCAUUUGCUUGAUUAAUUCUAGAGUAAUGCAGAAAUUUGAGUUUCAUUUGUAUGGCAGCCCCCCUAAGAGAGGGGGGAGGAGUAUCUAACCAUCGUAAAAACAUUUAUUGCACCCUAAAACUUCAAUAUGCCCAAUUUGGUUUCAUUUGCUUGAUUAAUUAUUGUGUAAUGCCGAAAUUUGUGUUUCAUUUGUAUGGCAGCCCUUCCUAAGAGAGGAGGGAGGAGCAUCUACAAAAUCUACAAGAAUCUACAAAAAAAAACAUGGCGAGAUAGUUAUGCCUAGAAUAUGAACAUGGGACAAUUGAGCUUGGUGUUGUUUAUUUAAAGCUGGGAACAAACAAUAACUUUUUCCAGAAGAUUAGGCAUAAAAACACCGUUAUAUGAAGAAAAGUGAAAAUUGUCGAAAAGUAACAUGGGACAACUACGCGUAAAAUGGCAGAUUUUGUCAUUGAUAAAAACCAAGUCUAAUGUUCUCCCAUUGUCAUUCGUCAGUUGGUUUACUUUCUGUAACUAUAGUCUCCUGCUCAGAUGAUGCAUUAGAAGGAAUGAAACUUCUGAUAUCCUCAUCGAAGCUCCGGUGUAGCAGUGGCAAAUUAUAAUUACCCAGCACCAGCAUCCUGUCUCUAUCUCUCAUCGGUGAAUACAUGCACUGUAUUACUCAUAAUUCAUCGGUUAAGUAUUGGGAGGCAGCUGACUAGCAUUAUCGACGCACACAACAUUGCUUCGCAAGUGCCGUUUAAGUCUGAUCAAUACUCCACCACCACGUCGAAAGCUGCUUGUGGCAGGGGAACGAUCGCAACGAUAUAUCACAUAUUCAUCAGUCAACUCGCUAUCCAAUAGUAGUUCGUUGAGCCAAGUUUCAGUAAACACAACGAUGUCGUAGUCGCAAAUAGAGAGAGUCAUGUGAAGUUCGCUGAGUUUGGUGCGAAGGCCACGCACAUUUUGAUAACAUGGCGUGAAUGAAAAUAGAGCGAGUCGAUUCGGUGUAUGAUUUGGAACGUAAACAGAAUUUCUCGUAACACUCUCGUCAUCUCUCGGGCGUGCGGGUAAGUACGGGCAGUGUAGUGAAAGAAAAUGUUCACCGUCGAAAUUGAAAUGGGCUUCGAAUUUGGAGACCAAACUUCCGGAAAGUGAUUUUUUUUGCCAUGUUGCAGGCGAAAGUACGACUUCCUUCAAACUCGAUAUAACACCGACCUUGAACGAAACAAAAGUAAGUUCGUCAAGAUUUUUACCUUUAGGAACUAAUUUUCGAACGUCAACGGUCUCGUUUGUGUUCAAGUUGCUCUCCUCUGUUGCUUUAGGGUCGAAGCCAGAUAAGUACAGUAGGCUACCAAUGAAAAUAGUUAUCUCGAGUUUCAAAAAGUUACCCCAUAAAAAAAUGUUCACCUCGAGGUGGUAUGAUAUAAAUUACAAUCCCCUGAUGUGUAAGUAGUUAAAAUUGCGUCAUCAAAUGUCUUCGUUUCGAAUUGAGCUGUAGACGCGACCAAAUUACUUACUCGCUGAUGUCUCGCAUUGCAUUCAUUGCAUCAUACUGAUGCCAUUGUAUUAAGGUUUUGAGCUACGCAAUUGUGUGGGGAAUUAUCAAGCUAGGCUAUCGUCGGCUUACCAAGAAAAUAAAUGUUCUGGAAUUUUGUCGGUGAUUUGGUUUCGCAUGACAGUAGCAAAACUCUCCACAAAGUAUGAGAGGUACGCUAAUCUAGACCGAAAAUAUUAACAGAAAGGUCUUCUGUUGAAAAGAGCGCAAAAUUGUUUGGUGGUGCAAAUUAUGCAGCCGUGAUGAUGAAUAAAAACAAGGAGGAGAGAUAGGGGAGAUUGCAUUUGCGCUAAUCUUGAUCAUAAUGAAGCAAUGCUACUCUUUUCGAGGUUGUUGAGAUUAACAGAAAGAGUUUGUUUCGUUUAUUUAGUCACCAAGAAAGUAAAUGUCAUUCUGGAAUUUUGUAUGUGAUUUGGUUUCGCUUGCUAGUAGCAAAAUUUUCUCCACUAAGGAUGACAGCUGCGCUUAUCUCGAGCAUGAGAAAGUAAUGCAACUUUAUUCGAGGCCAGUAAUAUUAACAAAAGCGUUUCUUUAGGAAAUAGUUCUAAAUGAUGCGAAGUAUUUAUUCUAAAGGGUGUGUCACAUCAAAUUGCAUCACGGAAAAAACGCUGUAGAAAUUCGCCCAGUAGACCGAUCCUUUUGAAAAUUUUAGACAGUAAAAUAAAAACUAUUAAACAACUUUUGGCAUUUUCUUUUUAUUCAUACUUCGAGCCCAAGCCUGCUUCAUAAUCGCCCAAUAUUUCUCUAUUGGGCGAAGCUCCAGCGCAUUGGGCGGGUUCAUUUCCUUUGGCACGAAGGUGACCCCAUUGGCUUCGUACCACUCCAACGAGUCCUUUGAAUAGUGGUACGAAGCGAGAUCCGGCCAGAAGAUGGUCGGGCCUUCGUGCUGCUUCAAUAGUGGUAGUAAGCGCUUCUGUAGGCACUCCUUAAGGUAAACCUGCCCGUUUACCGUGCCGGUCAUCACGAAGGGGGCGCUCCGCUUUCCGCAAGAGCAGAUCGCUUGCCACACCAUGUACUUUUUGGCAAACUUGGAUAGUUUCUGCUUGCGAAUCUCCUCCGGAACGCUGAAUUUGUCCUCUGCGGAGAAGAACAACAGGCCCGGCAGCUGACAAAAGUCCGCUUUGACGUAGGUUUCGUCGUCCAUUACCAGGCAAUGCGGCUUCGUCAGUAUUUCGGUGUACAGCUUCCGGGCUCGCGUCUUCCCCACCAUAUUUUGCCUUUCGUCGCGGUUAGGAGCCUUCUGAACCUUGUAUGUCCUUGCUUGGUCCGCUGGACGAAUGAACUUGACAAAUUCAGCUUAUCCCGGACCGAACUUCUCGGAUCACGUCCAAACUGCUUAACUACGCGCUUAUGAUCUUUUUCACUGACGGAGCAUCCAUUUUUGCCGUUCUUCACCUUCCGGUCGAUGGUUAGGUUCUCGAAGUAUCGUUUUAGUACUCUGCUGACCGUGGAUUGGACGAUUCCCAGCAUCUUACCAAUGACCCGAUGUGACAACUCCGGAUUCUCGAAAUGAGUGCACAGGAUUAAUUCACGACGCUCUUUUUCGUUCGACGACAUUUUUCCAAAUUUACGAAAAAAUGACAGUGAAGCAUGGCCAACGUGAUCUAUACACUCUUAUCUGAUUUUAAAGCGAAAGCUGAAGAUAUAAUUCCUAAAAAUUAAAUUUUCUACAGCGUUUUUUCCGUGAUGCAAUUUGAUGUGACACACCCUUUAGUAGCUUAAAGGUGAAGGUGGAAGCUAGCCACAAAUGGCUGCCACAAUGGCGCUCAUUUCUUUCAUUUUCCUCCCUUACCCCUCGGCCGGAAAUCAACGAGGUGAAUUUUCAAUGCAUUGACAUGAAACAAAUUGCAACAUACGAUCAGCUAGUGUAUUGUUCAGCGGUUCUACGAUAAAAAAAAACAUUUCAGUGCGAUCAUACCAUUCUACUAAACAGUUAUUUCUAAAAUUUCACAGUAUUAUAAAAUAAUAGCCGAAGUUAUAAAUAUGUGACCAGUCUUCAGAAUGCAAUUCGGUGCUGAUGCGCAACACGAUUUUUGUACCCAGUCGAACUCCCACUCCUUGCGCACACAUGCGCUCUGGCGAAUGAGCACGCUCCGAAACACAGAUGAAAUGUUUGGUUGUUAGCGCACAUUUUGCGCUGUCGUGCUUUUGAAUUUUGUGCGCCUCGCACAAAGAGAGAAUACGAGUUUUCUUUGAGCGCGCUGAUGAAAAUUUAACUCAAGCGCAGCGCUGCGUUUGUUUUCUGAAGACUGUAUGUGACCUCAAUAACAAAAUAACAUCGUAGUUCUACGUCAAAAAUGUGGUCGUAUCUCAAAGACAACCUCCUAUAUUUUUUUGUCAAAAUAUGUUUUUUUUUGUAAGACGAACGUUUUUCCGUGUCAUGCAAUUUCAAGACAUUUGGCAUCAAACUUUUUUUUAUAAAACGCCGAUUUCCGGUGAUUUUUCAGUUUUCAAAAAACUCAAAUUUCAACGUCUCGUCCGAAUGAGCUAAUAUUUUACAUAGGGUAUAUUAUUGUGCAAAUCAACAUUUCGUACCAAGUUCCGAAUGAAAAAUCGAGAUAACUGUUUUUAUUGACACCCUAAACCAUACUUUUCGUUUCACAUGCCGAAAAAAAAGUCCCAGAGUGCCGAUUUUUGACAAAAAAAAUUUUUCGAGAUGACAUUAGAUCUCGACGUUUCAUGCAAUUUUAAGACAUUUGACAUAAAAACAAAUUUCGAAAACGCCGAUUUUUUUUACUCCCACCUUGGGUGAUUUUUCGAUUUUCAAAAAACUCAAACUUUGACCGCUUUGCGCCACUCUCCGCUAGGUCCGAUUGAGCUGAAAUUUGGCACAGGGUGUUUUUUCGAGGUGGUGAACAUUUGUAUAGGGUAACUUUUUGAAAUUUUAGGGUCGAUUUUAUCCCAUACAUUCAUUGGCACCCUAAAGUACAGCUAAAGUAUAGUAUUGUUUCGAUCGAUUUUUGUAGAAAAUUGAUUGUUUCUCGGUAGUAUUUUGUGUUUUCGGAUCCUGGUAAGUAUCUAUCAUGUAAACAAGAAGUAUGUAAGGUUUUAAUUCUCGAAUUCUAGUUGCAGUCAACGAAAAAUGGGUCGCACGCAUAAUUGCACGGAAACACAGCGGAUGGACAUUCGCAGGCAGGCAGCAACCAACGCGAAAUCGCAGUGUACUUGGGACGAUCCAAAACUUCGUGUUUAAUACGUCCACUGUGGUCGGAUAAGACGAAUGUAAACCUCAUCGGCUCGGACGGAAAUACUUAGAUCCAUCGUCCAAUAGGCUUACGCUUACAUGCCACAGUAUACCAGGAAGAAAUUCAAGCAUGGAGGAGGGAACAUUAUUCUCGUGUUACGGGGAUGGCUCCCUAUGUUGGGUUGGAUAAGAUCAUGGAUCAGUACCUCCACGCCCAAAUCCUAAGGGAUGAUAUGCUGCCACACGCCGAGUGGGUGAUGUCCCUGAAAUGGCAGUUCAUGCAAGAUUACGAUCCGAAGCACACCGUCAAGACCGUCAAAAAGUGGUUCCAGUAUAACAAAGUCGACGUCAUGGAUUGAUCAACGCAGUCACCGGACCUGAACCCUAUAGAGAACCAAUGAGAGAUCGCAAAAAGAUCGGUGUACACGGAGCAGUCGAUGAGUAAGCAGUAACUGUGGGAUAGCAUCCUAACUUGUUGGUACGUCAUCCCGGUCACCACGAGCCAGAAGCUGGUGAAAUCCAUGCCGAACCGGGUGCGUAACCCUAGAAGCUUUUCAAGCUAUGAAUUUUCUUGUUUUUGUUUUUUUACCAUGAAUUUUAAAACCGCGCUUAAUUUUUGUUGCGUCAUUAUAGUUGUUAAGUAUGCUUAAAAUGUAUUUUUUAAUGAAUGACUAUUGUUUUAAGUGCAGAUGUUUUAAAUUUUUCUAACAAUGCAAAUAAAUUAUU